CUCGAAGACUACGAGGUUGAUAGGCUGGGUGUGUAAGCGUUGUAAGGCGUUUAGCUGACCAGUACUAAUAGGUCGUUCGUUUUUAUUCU
rnacentral:rRNA from 1 species